UACGUAGGUGGCAAGCGUUGUCCGGAUUUAUUGGGUUUAAAGGGUGCGUAGGCGGUUCUCUAAGUCAGUUGUGAAAUACUUCAGCUUAACUGGAGAGGUGCAAUUGAUACUGGAGAACUUGAGUACUGAUGAGGUAGGCGGAAUGGACGGUGUAGCGGUGAAAUGCUUAGAUAUCGUCCAGAACACCGAUAGCGAAGGCAGCUUACUACAGGAAUAUUGACACUGAUGCACGAAAGCGUGGGGAUCAAACAGG
rnacentral:rRNA from 1 species